GACACAUUGUUAUUUUUGUAGAGAGAAGACAUUUGUCUAGAACUAUGCCCCUUCUUCUCCCAGCACUCCAGGCGCAGAACCUGCAAUUCUCCAAAAUCGACCACAGUUCUGUAACGUUCACCUGGGGAACACCGCUCUUCAAGGCCAACUGCUACUGCUGGUGGGCCAUGACCAAGGGGUUAAAGACCCAUGAGAGAUUGUCCCAAAGCCUCUGAACUUGAGGAGCAGUGUGUUCUCCACAGAGAGCCCAAGACGUGGUCCUCUACACAGACUCACCUGGACCCCAACCAGAGGAGGAGCAACUGAAUAGCUCUCUCUCGCUCUUUCUCCCCAUGGUGAAGAUGCUGGUGAAUGGUAACAUGAACACCUACCCUCUGACUGGACUGAUUCCCAACAC